rnacentral:rRNA from 2 species
CGUGUAGGCGGUACCAUAAGUCAGAUGUGAAAGCCCUAGGCUUAACCUAGGAGGUGCAUUUGAUACUGUGGAACUAGAGAUCGAGAGAGGAAAGUGGAAUUACGAGUGUAGAGGUGAAAUUCGUAGAUAUUCGUAAGAACACCAGUGGCGAAGGCGACUUUCUGGCUCGAUACUGACGCUAAGGCGCGAAAGCGUGGGGAGCAAACAGGAUUAGAUACCCUGGUAGUCCACGCUGUAAACGAUGAGUGCUAGAUGUUGGUGAAGGAAUUCAUCAGUGUCGCAGCUAACGCAUUAAGCACUCCGCCUGGGGAGUACGGUCGCAAGAUUAAA